GACGAACGCUGGCGGCGUGCUUAACACAUGCAAGUCGUACGGUAAGGCCCUUUCGGGGGUACACGAGUGGCGAACGGGCGAGUAACACGUGAGUAACCUGCCCACAACUUUGGGAUAACGCUAGGAAACUGGUGCUAAUACUGGAUAUGUGCUCCUGCUGCAUGGUGGGGGGUGGAAAGCUCCGGCGGUUGUGGAUGGACUCGCGGCCUAUCAGCCUGUUGGUGGGGUAGUGGCCUACCAAGGCGGCGACGGGUAGCCGGCCUGGGAGGGUGACCGGCCACAUUUGGACUGGGAAACGGCCCAGACUCCUACGGGAGGCAGCAGUGGGGAAUAUUGCACAAAGGGCGCGAGCCUGAUGCAGCAACGCCGCGUGCGGGAUGACGGCCUUCGGGUUGGAAACCGCUUUCAGCAGGGACGAAGCUUUUUGUGACGGUACCUGCAGAAGAAGCACCGGCUAACUACGUG
rnacentral:rRNA from 1 species